GUGAGGACAAGCAAGAGUUAGUGACUAGAGAAGCUGCCUGCAAGAAACACCAAGGAGGCAAAUGAGACAAACAGGAAGAGUCCUUGCCUCAGCAGACUACAGUGGAUGGGCCUCACUGACCCCUUUGCUCCAUGUCCCUAGAGCCCAUCAGAGGAUUUGUUUUGUCUCCUGGGGCAGAAAUUAGCCAGAACUCCGACAUGAUAAAAUAUUUUCCCUUCGCUGCUGGUCACUGUAGAAACUCAAAUCAGGCUCGAUAGGAAGGAGCUGGAGGAAGGCAAGCCCUGGCGUACGGGGACAGUAUCGGCAGAGCCACACAGAUGGAACAGUAGCGAGAACAGAGGGACAACUACUGUGGCACGAAG